rnacentral:tRNA from 1 species
AGCUUUUCAGCGACGUGGUGAGAGUGUCUGACUACCACUCCGGAGGUCAUGGGUUCGAUCCCCCAUAAGAGCUC